rnacentral:lncRNA from 1 species
GUUAAGCUAUGUAAUAAUUAGUCUCAUUAGCUGUAACUGGAGCGCGCAGCGGACGGAUUUACUAAUAAAGCUUCACUAAUGCUAUGUAGGCUCAGGAAAUAUAUCAUAAACAUAAUUCAAUAAUCAUUGGAAAUACAUAGGCUAUUAAUGCGGCCCUCCGACCCUCAAACUGUCAGCGUUUUGCCCCGGAGGAGAGCUGUUGAAUUUAUUCCCCCUUCCUCGCUGCGGUCAUUUCCCACAUUUCCAUUCAAUGAACUGAAUGUUUAUCCUCUGCGCAGCUUCAGGAUUGCUUUUGUGGUUCAUGAGAGAAGAAAAUGGGUGCGUGGCCAGGAGUGAGAGGAGAAGGGAGGCAGACUUGUCUGAGCUGACGACAGGUGAUGAUGACAAAUCAAACAUACCCAGUGUAUAGUAAUUACCAUCUGAUCAUGGCUUUCAUCCUGCUCUCAUUACUGCUAACUGUGGACAUUAUAACCUGGGCUCUUUGGGGAUUUGCUUUCAGAAAUAUUCAUAUUCCAUUUCUGUUCAGCAUUUAAGAAUCGGAAAAUGAGAGAUUACAAAUAUGCCCGCCUGCAUUGUUGCUCUAAUGUGUUUGCAAAAUACGUCCAUGGUGCAGAUUAAUAGGGAAUUGCAUGAUGGUUCAAUUCUGUUCAAGCUGAUGAAGAAAUACAGCUGUAUCGAAGUCAUUUUCUCUAUAUUGGAGAUAUGUACACAUACACAGUGGAGUCCAAAAGUGUGAGACCAUAUUGAAAAUCUAGAAUUGAAAAUCUAUAUAUAUAUACACACACACACACACACACACACACACACACACACACACACACACACACACACACACAAAGACUGUUUCAAAAUUUUGUAGUUUUGGUUUAAAUUCUUAAAUUGUUUUUCUGUUAUGUUCACCAAUGCUGCAUCAAUUUGAUCAAAAAUAAAAUAAAAAGAGUAUUAUUAUGAAAUUUUACAAUUAUAUUACUACAUCUGGUUUUCCACAUUGCUGCUGGUUACUAAAGCAAAAAGGAGAAUGAACUAAAUAUGCAAGCUAUUAAUAGCUGUGUAAAUGCAUUUCCUGUUGUUACACAUCCAUAAUGUUCCCAAACAAAAUCCAGUGUUAACGGGGUGCUGGGGACGCUCCCAUUCUAAACAGCUUACAAAACUCUCCAUACAUAAUGAGAUGAAUCAAUUAGCAUGAGCAAAUUCAUCCUAAAUAGGGAGAUAAUGGUUCCAGUGGUGUAUUAGCCAGCUAACAACUGACUUCCUAAUUGAACAAGUGAAAAGAUUGUGGGGAUUAAGAGUGUGUUUAUUCUGACACUCCAUUAACACCUGAGCCCCCGAGAGAUAAUCCCCCUGUGAGACAGAGCUUUCAGAUGCAGCACACAGACAUACAUAUGCUGGCAGGGGCCCAGGACCCUCACUGUUUACUCCGCUAAUGAACAACAUUAAGAGGAAGGAGAGUGGUUGUGUGUGUUAUAUAUAUAUAUAUAUAUAUAUAUAUAUAUAUAUAUAUACACACACACACACACACACACACACACACACACACACACACACACUAUAUAUAUAAUAAGUAAUAAUAUAUAUAUAUAUAUAUAUAUAUAUAUAUAUAUAUAUAUACACACACACACACACACACACACACACACACACACACACAUAUAAUAUAUAUAUAAAUUUCAAAAGAAUGAAUGCCUACUUAGAAUCAAAAAUAUUGAAAUUAAAUGUCUAAUAUCUAUAGAUUUGGUUUCUAAGAUUCUCUUAUGCUUUUAAAAGUCUAUGAUGCUCACCAAAGCAGCAUUUAUUUAAUCAAAAACACAGUAAAAACAGUAAUAUUGUAAAAUAUUAUUACAAUUUAAAAUAACUGUUUUUAUAUUAAUAUAGCCUCUCUUAUAAUAUAAUUUAUUUCUGUGAUGGCAAAGAUGAAUUUACAGCAGCUAUUACUCCAGUCUUCAGUGUCACAUGAUCCUUCAGAAAUCAUACUAAUAUGCUGAUUUGGCGCGCAAGAAACAUUUUUUAUUGUUAUCAAUGUUGAAAUCAGUUAUGCUGCUGAAUCAUUUUGUGGAAACUGUGGUAAAAAAAUACUAUUAGGAUUCUUUGAUAAAUAGUAAGUGCAAAGGAACUGCAUUCAUGUGAAAUAGAAUUUUUGGUAACAAUGUAAAAGUCUUUAUUGUGCCUUUUGAUCAAAUUAAUGAAUUAGUGAUGAAUUUAAGUAUUAAUAGCUCAUUCUCUCAUCUCACUAAAAUCUGUAUUGCAGCACAUCUCACAUUAGUCUCCCAAUGAUAAACCACUUUUGUUGUAGUAUUCCUCAUUUACAAGUCCCUUUGGAUAAAAGCAUCUGCUAAAUGAAUAAAGGUAGUCUCUCAAACUGAUGAUGCAAAUCAACUCAACUCUAUGGUCCAAAGCGCCCAACCAGCAAUUCCUAGAAAGACUACUCUGUCACCAACAGACACAGAAUGAACCACAAACCAAUGGAGAAAAAGCGAUUUGACUAAUAGAGUGAUGCUAAAUGUGAUUGCUGAUUUGGGGCUGUAUUUGUGGAAGCGCGUGCGAUCCUUAUCUCUCCUGAUGCCGGGGUUAUUCCUCGGCCUGCCCUUAAGACAGGGUGCACGGAUCUGGAUCUAAUUACACAUGAGGAAGCACAGGCCCGUUCCUGAAGCUGAAGGGCCAUCAGUAAACCUGUGCAUUAAUAACCAGUAAGAGUUCUGUGCAUUGUAACGGCCUGACUGCAAUGCACUGUAAUCCUCACGUGAAGGGGAAUUAAAAGCGACUGUACAAAAGAGGGAAACAAAUGACCAUGUGAGCACGGCACGGAAUGCCUGCUAUGCUCGAUUUCGAUUGUCGCCUGCUCCCGAAGCUUAAAAGAGAGAAAAACAAGAUGCUGAGGUCAAAAGGGCGUCUUGUGUAAGCGCGUGUGCGCUGAGUGACAGACAGUUUAGCGCUGGUUUGGGACCUGCGCUCAAAAGGUCAGUAAAAAGUUUUGGCAACCAAGCAAGCGGAAAACAAUGAGCCCCCUCUGCAUAUUUAUUCGUCAUCUCUUUGUUUUUAUAGCGCGGAGAAUAAAUGGCUCAAAUGACACGGCACAAGCCUGCACAUUGUCAACACAGGUAAUAAGUCACCAUUAGCCUCUCAUUCCCACACUCAGCAUAUCAGCCCCGCCUGAUCCCGGCCCAGCGCACUGGCUGCCAUUUGCAUUCCACCUACAUAUAUUACCCAGAGAAGCAUAUGUAUGUCUUUUCAACAGCUAUAGAUAUUUCUUUUCCUCCUUUAUCUACAUUUUGAUGAACAAAGCCUUGUUCAACUUUUCCCUUCUAGAUUAUCUCAGCAGACAUGGCCCAGGUGAUCUGCUACAAGCACUUCAUCAACAGCGCUGAACUUAGGUAAAAUCUGUUCAAGACUGUUUUUUGCUUUAAAAUGACGCAAAGCAGUUUAAUCAACUCCUUGUCAGAGCUGAAGUCAUGAGCAGAGCCGCAAAGACUCAAGACCAAGGAUGUACAUUUUAAAAGCGAAGUGUGUGUUCAGCAUUUUUGCACCCUCUGCCGUUAUUUGGAUCAAGGGGUCAACAUUUGGCGGGUUAGUAUGACCCUGUUAACCCCUGCUGGUAGAUAUUGUAACUACACCAUUAGGCUUUAGGAAAAAAAUCUUCAUUAGGAAUGAAAAUUUAAAGAAAUGUAAUGAUUUUGGUUACAAUGCCUUCAACAGUUAUUUUGAAUAUGAGCAGAAAAAAAAAAACAGAAAUGCAAUUUUUUUGACAUCUGGGAUGAUUUUAAUAAACGUAAAAAAUAAUUUGUCUAUUUUUUUUUUUUUUAAUCUGUCAAUGCAUACAAAUGCAUUAUCACAUAAGUCAAUAACUACACUAAAGUCUUACUAGCCUUACGUAGCCUACAAAACAACAGUAUCAGUUCUUGGUCAUGAAGUCAGACAUGACAUCAGUGAUUCAGAUUAAUUAAGAACUUUUCUGAAUGAUUCAUAAGCAUUUGUGAUUCACUAAAAAUACUGGCUUAUAAGAAUCACUCUUCACUGGUGUUGCUGAAUGGUUAUGCAGUGAGCGCUUUACGAGUAUUUAGUUUCAUCUGAAUCGGCAAAAUAUUGCACUCUAAAAAGAAAUUCAGGAGACAUAUUACCAAAACCUGAAUACAAAUUCUAAUUAAACCUUAUAAAAUGUAAAACAUUAUUUUCAUUACAUCAACUUAAUGUUAAGUGUAAUUUAAACUCUUUCCUGCAUUCUUUUUUUUUUUUUUUUUUUUUUAAAGCAGCAACUAAUUAAAUUGUACUUUAAAAAAUACAACUUGUAAGUAGUAUUUCUAGCACAAAAUAAGUUUUUGUGGUUACCAUUAUGCUCAUGGUUCUGUUGUAGGUAGCUACAGGAAAGUACACACUACAUUAACUCUAAGAGCAAUAGCUAUAUUAAUGCCAGUGACAAGUAAUAUCUUACUUGCUUGUUCAAUUUACAUGGUACAUAAGUUACAUUUAGCAUGUGUAAUGCUAGCUGUUUUGAACUGAAGUAAGAUUAAUUGGUUCCAGGGCCUCAACUCAAUUUUUCACAAACUCACAACUUUUUUUGAGAUAAAAUGAAAAAAAUUGUAUUUAUGCUACAAAUUAUGUUUGAACAAAAUUUCAUUAGAAGUUGUCAUAACACACACACAAAAAAAAUUGAUGCAAACUAUUGUGUUAAUUUUUCCAAAACAUUUUUUAGAGGGUGCGAGCACCAUUAAUGGAAUUAAACACCAUGACAAACAUGUGGUUCUGGUAUUUUGGUUUUCUAAAUUGAACCCAAUUCUGACUGAGCUUCAUUGCUAUUAAAGUAGAUGGUUUACAAGUGCCUGAUUUGAUCUAGAAAUGGACUUCUUCUCUCAACACAUCUAACUUUCAUACCUUCAGAUUGUGUGUUCCUAUCAG